rnacentral:misc_RNA from 1 species
AUUUCUUUAUUAAUUUUUUAUAAAUAAUUUAUAUUAAAUAUAAAAAUAUAUUUUUAAAUAAAAAAGACGACAAGACCCUAUUAAAUUUAACUUAUAGUUUAGCUGGGGAAGCUUUUUAAAUAAAAUUUUUAUAUAAUUUUUAAAAAUAUAUUUAAUAAAAUUAAAAAUAAAAUAAAUUACUAUAGGGAUAACAGCGUUAUAUUUUUUAAAAGUUCUUAUUUAAAAAAAUGAUUGCGACCUCGAUGUUGAAUUAUAUUUUCUAUAUUAAUGCAAUAAUUAUAAAAGUAGAUCUGUUCGAUCUUUAAAAUAUUACAUGAUUUGAGUUCAAACCGGUGUAAACCAGGUUGGUUUCUAUCUUUUUAUAUAUAUAUAUAUUUUUUUAGUACGAAAGGAAAAAAAAAUUUUUAUUUUAAUUAUUUAGCAAAUUAAUAUGCAUUAGAUUUAGAAUCUAAAUAAAAUAUUAU